UCUCAAAGAUUAAGCCAUGCAUGUCUAAGUACAAACCGGUGAACCUGCGGAAGGAUCAUUAAAUCAGUUAUAACUUCUUUGCUCUAGAGUUUCUAAAUGGAUAACUGUGGUAAAUCUAGAGCUAAUACAUGCAAACUUGGCGAGUCCGCAAGGAUGAGUCGCAUUUUAUUAGACCCAGAUCAUAGGGCGCGCAAGCGUCUUUACAUCAGAGGUGACUCUAGAUAACAUUAAGCUAUCAUUUAAGUCCUCUUUGAGCGACGGUGAAGUGUAAUUCAGGCUUCUGCCUUAUCAACUUUUGUUGGUAGGCGACGGGACUACCAAGGUGGUCACGAGUAACGGGGAAUAUGGGUUUUAUUCCGGAGAAGGAGCCUGAGAAACGGCUACUACAUCUAAGGGUGGCAGCAGGCGCGCAAUUUGCCCAAUUUUAGAUGUAGGAGGCAGUGACGAGACAUAAACAUUGCGGAUCCCAGUUUCGAUUGGGCUUCUGCAUAUAUAUUGUGAUUGAGCACAAUGUAAAUGCUUUGGCGAUUAUCUAUUGGAGGGCAAGUCUGGUGCCAGCAGCCGCGGUAAUUCCAGCUCCAAUAGCGUAUAUUAAUAUUGUUGCGGUUAAAAAGCUCAUAGUUUAAAAUCGAAUUGAGUUUGAUUAAGCUCCCUUACACUAGUUUGGGCUUGAAUGUUUAAUCUACGACUUAAUUCAUAUAGACGUUUGCUGAGUGCAUUGUGAUGUACUUGUGCAGCGUUAACGAUUACUUUGACUAAAUCAGAGUGAUCAAGACAGGCUUGUUUAAUACGGCCUUGAAUGCUCUAGCAUGGAAUAAUAGAAUAAGACUCUUUGGGUCUGGUGAUGUAAAUUCACACUAUGGUCUUCAGUACCUUGAGUAAUGAUUAAAAGGGAUUGACGGGGGCAGUCGUAUUGCUGGGCUAGCGGUGAAAUGCAAUGACCCUGGUAAGACGUCCUAAAGCGAAAGCAUCUGCCUAGGAUGUUUUCAUUAAUCAAGAGCGAAAGUUAGAGGUGCGAAGGCGAUUAGAUACCGCCCUAGUUCUAACCAUAAACGAUGCCAACCAGCAAUCAGUCUGAGAAUUCAAGAUUUUUACAAACUUAGUACUUGAAUUAGACUGGUUCUCCCGGAGAAAUCAGAGUGAUUAGGCUCCGGGGGAAGUAUGGUUGCAAGGCUGAAACUUAAAGGAAUUGACGGAGGGGCACCACAAGGAGUGGAGCUUGCGGCUUAAUUUGACUCAACACGGGAAAACUUACCAGGUUAAUACACCUUUAUGAUUGACAAGUUGAAGACUUUUCUUGAUUUAGUGAAUAGUGGUGCAUGGCCGUUAUUAGUUCGUGAAGUGAUUUGUCAGGUUGAUUCCGACAAACGGACAAGACUCUAGCCUGUUAAUUAAUAGUUUUUACUUGAUGCUUAGGUAUUAAGUGAAUUUUCUCAUUAGAGGGAUUAAUGACGUUUUUUAUAUUACAUGUAGUCAUAGAGAGAUGGAGAACAACAACAGGUCUGUAUGCCCUUCGAUAUCUUGGGCCGCACGCGAGCUACAUUGAAGAGAACAAUAAGUAUUUUAUAUUCCUGCUCUGAAAAGAGUUGGGUAAUCUUAGAAUUCUCUUCACCUCUGGGAUUGAGCUUUGAAAUCUUAGCUCAUGAACGAGGAAUUCCUUGUAAAUGUGAGUCAUUAGCUUACGUUGAAUGCGUCCCUGCCCCUUGUACACACCGCCCGUCGCUACUACCGAUGAAGUGCUUAGCAAGAACAAUGGACAGUUGGAUGCAUGCCGGCGUUUCGGCGUCUGGAAGUAUCAUGAUUGGAAGUUGUUCAAGCUUGUCACUUUAGAGGAAGUA
rnacentral:rRNA from 1 species